GAGGCAAGAGGCCUUGGUGAGCUUACUUGGUUGCUCUGGUUUGAAGAACAGAGGGAUGUUAGCCUUCCAUGGGGAGGCUUCACAGGCUGAGUUCCUCAGAGGCCAGUGGUAAGACCAGAGCAAGGUCCAGGAACUGCGACACCUCAUUCGGAGCAGAAGAGAGGAGAAUAGAUCCCGACAUGCAUCUGCUUAGUGCAGAACUGCCAACGUCCAUGUCUCUCAGUGAAGGUGGUGGUUUCAUCACCAGCAGCAGCAGCUAGUCUUUGCUCCUCCAAAUGGCUCAUGCCAGCCCUGCCUCUGUCCACACAUACGAUCUGUGCUAUCAACACAGACCUUCAGAAGUAGAGAGGAUGGAAAUAGAACACGUACUUUGAUAAACAGAAGCAAUUAGACUUCCUUGGACGAUGCCACAUUCCUUUAAUGCACAUUCGGCUUAAUGCACAAUGGGAAAAUCAGAGCCUAUUGAGCAAUGGUGUUGCCUCUGGUUUAUUGCAGUUCAUUAAUAAACAUUGCAGCUGGAGGCAAUGACUGUAUGACCCUUAAGUUCCUCCCAAUGCUGAGUUUCUAUGGCUUGUAGAAUAUUACAGCUUUAGAGUUUAAAAAUGUGUUCUGUACAACCAUGGGUACUAUAUUUGUCUUUUAAUUGUAGCUAUAGGCUAUUCUUGUACAUCCUACCUAGAUCUCGUCCUUUCCAGAAGGAAGGAAGUCAAGCUUUGUUCUAAGCCCUGUCACUUGAAAGGCAUAGCUUC
rnacentral:lncRNA from 1 species